CCAGCCAUAUCAUGCUGAAACACUGGUUCUUAUAUGAUCACCAAAGUUAAGCAAUGUUGAGUCUGGUCAGUACCAGGGUGGGUGACCAUUUGGGAAUAUCAAGUGCUGUAAG